CAGAACCUCAAAACAUUUCUUAGCUCCUAACAACUUUGCUAGCCCCCUUUUUUGCUUUCUUUUUCUUUUCUUUUUAUAUUUUAUUUCUUUUCCUUUUUUUUUUUCUUUUUUUUUUUUUUUAGAUGGGGGCCAAGACUUUUCAUAACUUGAGCUAGAGGUUUUUCUACUUAUCCCAAUAAGACAAUUCACUUAACACAAAGAGUCAUUUCUUUUCCUUUUUCAUUGCUCCCCAAUCAUAAUCACAACUCUCACC
rnacentral:lncRNA from 1 species